CUUUGAUGCUAAGAUACGAAGGUGAUUUUGAAGGCCAACGAGAUGAUUUUUUAAGCCAAUACCGAAUAUCAUAAAUGUGUCUCUACAGAUUCAAAGUUUUUGAGGACAUUUGAUUAGGCUGUGACCGAGACAUAUUCUUACAGUUUGCCACUGGAUCUCGCAAAGUGCUCCUUCAAGGAUUUGGUGCUCUGAGGGGAUGAACGUCGUUCAAAAGUUUCAAAUUCAUAGAGAUGACUGUUCUACCGAUCGUUUACCUUCCGCGCAUACUUGCUUUAAUCAAUUGGAUCUUCCAGUAUACGGGACUAUUACGGUAAACUAAGGGCAUACUUGCUGAAGGCUAUCCAUAAAAAAUGUUCUGAAGAUUUUGAAUUUGCCUAAAUAAUGCAAUAAACGUUAAAGACUGA